rnacentral:rRNA from 1 species
CCGGCACGGGUGAGUAACACGUAUCCAACCUGCCGUCUACUCUUGGACAGCCUUCUGAAAGGAAGAUUAAUACAAGAUGGCAUCAUGAGUCCGCAUGUUCACAUGAUUAAAGGUGUUCCGGUAGACGAUGGGGAUGCGUUCCAUUAGAUAGUAGGCGGGGUAACGGCCCACCUAGUCUUCGAUGGAUAGGGGUUCUGAGAGGAAGGUCCCCCACAUUGGGACUGAGACACGGUCCAA